GCAGGGGUAGCCAAGCAUGGCCAACGGCGCAGGACUUAAGAUCUCAACAAACAUAAAAUAAGGGUUCGCAGGAUAGGAUAUCCUGUCUCGAAGGAGUCCAAGGGUUCAAAUCCCUUCCCCUGCA
rnacentral:tRNA from 1 species